UCCUUUUCCAUGUACGGAGCCAUCUUCUUCAAUGGUACGCACUGGUUCAGCUCAGUGUCGUCCAAGAAGAGUAUCUCUUCCUUCUCCAGCCCAUAGCUGUUUGGUUGUACUUUAGCAAACUUAAACCUUGUCUUCAAAUCUCCAAUUGUGUCCUCAUAGUCUAGCUUGUAGUACUCCUCCAUCAAAGCUUCCUGGGCUCUUUUCACAAGAGAUGCUUUUCUCUUUCUCUUCCUCUUACCCUCUCUCUCUUCUUCCUCAUCCACUUCUUCUUCUUCUUCCUCUUCAGGUUCUUCAUCAUCGUCCUUUUGCUUCAAAACCUUUUCUCUGGUGAUUCGCUCGCAACACUCUCUUUAAAUUGUUUUUUUUUUUUUAUAUCCUUCUCAAUCUCAAAUUUUCAUUUUUAUAUUCAAACAAACUAUAGUAUAUAAUUGGACUUUGGUAAUGUUUUGCUUUUUUUUCUCAUUUUCUGGCACUGAACCACGACUCAUUCAAACCUAAACCAACAAAAUUAAGCUACAACUAAUUUAAACUGACAGAAUUUGGUACCCACUAAACUAAAGAGGGAGCUCGCAAUGUAAUAAUAUAAUUACGUCUUGUUUGGGAUUUUCAGAAACUUUUUUUUGGCCCAAAGAUAACAAAACUAUUAUAAAGACGUAAAUAUAACAACUACACUAACUCAUAAAAACGCAACAACUUCACAAUCACCACCUCUCUAUUUAAACACGCCAUUGCACACACAUCUCACAUAUUCAUCAAACAAAUCUUUAAUCAGUUUAAAAUCUUCUUCCAGCAACACAAAGAAAAACAGAGAGACAGCUUUCUCUUCUCCAUGAUGAUGAUCAAGCAAUCACCAUUCUCCUCUCCAUUAACAGCAAUCUUCUUGCUCACACUUGCUGUUUUCGCAGCAGCGCUUGAACCUCCACCUGAAGACCCCAUUUUCGAGCUCUACAUGCACGAUGUACUUGGAGGAAGCAGCCCCACGGCGAGACCCAUCACAGGUUUGCUCGGCAACAUUUACAACGGUCAAGUUCCUUUUGCUAAGCAGAUUGGUUUCACUCCUCCCGAAAACGGCAUAGCCAUACCCAAUGCAAACGGCGCCCUUCCAACUGUUAACGGUAUCAACGGUGUACCUCUCGGGACAGGCUUGUCUGGUACAGCUUACUCUGGUCAGAACCUGAACGGGAUACAGACUCAGCUGGGUCCUGAUGGUUUGAGUCUCGGGUUUGGCACCAUCACGGUCAUCGAUGACAUACUCACAUCUGGUCCUGACUUGGGCUCGCAGCCACUUGGUAAGGCUCAAGGAGUUUACGUUGCAAGUUCCGGAGAUGGAAGCACACAGAUGAUGGCUUUCACGGCUAUGCUUGAAGGUGGAGAGUACAACGACAACCUCAACUUCUAUGGUAUUUACAGGAUUGGAAGCGCCAUGUCGCAUCUGUCAGUGACUGGAGGAACAGGUAGGUUCAAGAACGCUUGUGGCUUUGCAGAGGUCAGGCCUUUGAUUCCUUCCGGUCAGCAUCAAGUGGAUGGUGCAGAGUCUUUACUAAGGAUCAUUGUCCAUCUAAAGUACUAAGAGAUUUAAAAUGUAUACAUGAGUUUAUGCGUGAAUGUUCUUUUUGUUAUGUGUAACACGUAUUGAUUGAAAGCAAAACACAAAGUCUUGUUGUACAUCAACCCAACCUGGUGAUUCUCACACGGCUAAGCACAGUGGUCUCAUCUAAACCGUAAAGAGAAUCAAUCAAAUGCAUUUUCAAAGAAGCUGGACCGUUCGCCAACUCUUCACCCAACUCACCUGCGAUGCCAAAGACAGACAUAGCGGAAACAGUAGCUUCCAGUGGCUGUAACGGAUCGACAGCGAGAAAGGCAGCAACCAGGCCAGCUAGUGAACAUCCAGUUGCAGUGAUCCUUUGCAUCAUCUUUGUCCCGUUGUGGACACCAAUAACCCGUUUCCCAUCCGUAACGAUAUCAACAGCUCCUGAAACCGCAACAACAGCACCACUAGACAAAGCUAAUGACUUUGCAGCUUCUAUGGCCUCUGUAGAUUCAUGAGAGCUAUCCGCACCCUACAAUGAUUCAAUCAUCAAAACCUCUCUUUACGAGAUUCUUGAACCUUUAAAAGAUACCUUAGUCUGACCCUGCGAAGCAGAGCCCGAGAGAGCAAUGAUCUCAGAACCGUUUCCUUUGAUCACGCUAGGUUUAAGCUCAACGAGCUCCAAGCACGCCUUCAACCGGAAACCGGAGCAACUCACCGCGGCGGGAUCGAGAACCCAGGGCUUUCCGAGCUGAGCAGCGAGUUCGGCGGCGGCUUUCAUGGAGGGAAGCCAGUCAGGUGUAAGCGUGCCGACGUUGACGAAGAGAGCGUGAAUAUGAGGUGUGAAAUCGGCAACCUCAGCGACCGAAUGAACCAUCGCCGGCGAUGCGCCGGCGGAUAAAAGCGUGUUGGCCACGAGGUCCAUUGAGACGAAGUUGGUGAUGCACUGAACCAGCGGCGAUUGUCGCCGGACGGCCGUAAGGUGCGUCCACACGCCGGAGCUCCAUUCUUUUGAUUCCAUUCUGCUUAACCAAUCGUCAAUCACGAUUCAAUUAUAUAUCAGAAACACGGUUUGGUUUUAAUUUCAUAAAGCCGAGAAUUUUUAUACCGGUUCAGACCCAACCAAAUAAUGCAAUUAAACCGGGAGGACACAGAGCGUACUGAAUUCUUAGCCAAACUAACUCUUGCAGAAGACUUGUACUCGAACACAGCUUCAUGAACGACUUCUAUUUAACGUUCGAGCUUCACUGAAACUACAUCUUUACUAAAUAAAAGCAGCUAAACUGAAGAAAACAAAUCCUUCAUUAUGUGCUUGCUUGUUUGCUCAUGGUUGAAAAUUUAGUAGUUAUGAUUGCAGUACUAUCUACUCAUAUCUAAACCACACCAACAACAACAAACUGAGCAAAUAUCCGACAAUGAGUUACAUGCGUUGGUAGCAUUCUUCCCAUGAAAGACCUUCGUUUUUGGAACAAACCACUCGAAGGUGAUACAUGGUUUAUGAGCUCUCUCUUUCUAGGAUAUUACCCAAACCAGAGGUAAGGUUCAAUAUCAGAAUCUUCAAAAAGAAAGCCUUUGAGCUUCAAAGGGAUCAUGGAAUUAAUAUGCACGGACUUGGCCUCGAAACUCUUUCGGUCAAUGCCAGUCUCCACGGACCCGUAUGUUGCUUGGAUAGUGUGGGACUAAAAGAAGAGAACUCAUAAAAGAAAAUAUUUACGCAGCAACAAAACCACAAUAUAUGCAACUCUAUAAUUUCUUCAAAGAUUAUAGGAACUCGUAUGCAAUAAAUCCGUGCAUAGCCCAGAUUACUAGGAAUCCGGGUAAGCAAUUCAAUAUUUCAACUGAGUUUCAGACGAUUUAUAACAUACCAAAGGGACACAACCAAAAGAAACAAAUCAAAGAGUUGUGUAAUAAAACCAGGAACAACAAAAUAUUACGAAAUCAAAACUAGGAAACCAAACAUCAAAAUCGAUUCAAGAGAGUAAAAGGACCAUUAUUCUCUUACUUAAUUCUUUUGUUCAAUUUGUCUUCCCAUAAGCAACCAUUCUGUUGGGAGGAAGCUUCUUCUCAGCUUCACGUCUUCUUCUCUUCGCCUUCCUCGACAGUUUGCUUGUCUCAGCCUCGCCUUCCUCAUCUGCUAUCGGUGCUGCUGGCUUCUUCUCCUUAACAACAGCAUCUCGCUUCUCUUCACGAUCCCUCUUCUUGCUCUUCUUCUUGCUCCUCUUCUCAUCAGGAUCAUCAAUCCUCUCCAGCAACUCACUGAACUUGUGUUUCUGCUCCUUGAGUUUGUACUUGUUCACCUCCCAGUCCUUUUCCAUGUACGGAGCCAUCUUCUUCAAUGGUACGCACUGGUUCAGCUCAGUGUCGUCCAAGAAGAGUAUCUCUUCCUUCUCCAGCCCAUAGCUGUUUGGUUGUACUUUAGCAAACUUAAACCUUGUCUUCAAAUCUCCAAUUGUGUCCUCAUAGUCUAGCUUGUAGUACUCCUCCAUCAAAGCUUCCUGGGCUCUUUUCACAAGAGAUGCUUUUCUCUUUCUCUUCCUCUUACCCUCUCUCUCUUCUUCCUCAUCCACUUCUUCUUCUUCUUCCUCUUCAGGUUCUUCAUCAUCGUCCUUUUGCUUCAAAACCUUUUCUCUGGUGGCAGUAAACCCAUCCCCACUUUGAAUGACAUCCCAAUUCUUUGGGAGUCCAAGAAGUUCAUCUUCCUUGUCAAAGUCAGGCUUCUCAUCAUCAUCAUCAUCAUCACCACUAUGCAACUCUGAGUCCUCGGCACCGUAGUAGUUGUCAUCAAAAGCAGCUUUCAUCAUCUUAUCAUACUCGUCGGGGUCAAACUCAUCUUCCAGGCCUCGUGCAUCUAAAGGAAACUCUUCCCCUUCCUUAAAACCAGCAAUAGAAAGAACCUUCUUCAUCUUCUCCUCAAUCUCCUUCUUCUUGACAUUCUUGAGCCGCUUAAGCUCUUCUUGCCUCUCAAUCUCAGCAAUUUUCUUCCUAUCGACCUUGUUCUCCCUCUGUUUUUUCCUCGGGUUAUCCUUCUUCCUCACGGAAUCUUCAACGAUCCUAGACUGACCCAUAACAAUCCCCCCUGCUGCAUUCUUCUCCUCAUGACGAUAUUUGGUCUCAAACUCCUCCUGCUCAAUAACCAAUUCCUCGUCAUCUGAGAUCUGCUUAAGCUCUGCUUCAUCAAUCACUUGGGUUUUGCCUUUUCCAUCUUUAUCCUUCCACAUCUGUUUGAGCAAGUAAUCUCUCAAGAACUUGUCGCCCUCACCAAGCUCAGACUCUUUACCGAAGUACUCAUCAGCCAUCUCCUUAAGUUCCUCAUCUUCUUCCUCAUCUUCAGAAUCAUCAUCUCCUUCCUUGACUUUCAAGAGAUCCUCAUCAUCAUCAUCAUCGCUCUCCUCCCCUCCAGCCUCCAGAGCAUCAGACACAGCUCGUCUCAGCUCCUCCUGCUGCUCGCCGUAACUCUGAACCAUGCUACGCCUCCCUUCAUCUUCCUCAUCAGCAUCUGGACCAUGCUCGAGCAAAUGCUGCGCCUGAACAUCUUUGAUGUGCAUCACCUUCAUUUUCGUCUUCUUCUCGUCCUUCUUCUUCUUCUUCUUCUUCUUACGAUCCUUCUUCUCAGCAUCAUCGAUCUGUCCUGUAGCUAGAAACCCAGGGUCAUGUUCCUUUAACUUAUUUAAAGAUUUGAUCCACGUGGAGACUUCAUCAACUCCGAUCUCCUCCUCUGGGUCAGAAACGUCUUCGGAUUCUUUGGAUUCGUCUUCGUCCUCGACGAUUUCACCUUCCGCCACCGCUUUGGCGUAUCGCCUUCUAUCCUCGCGCUCUCUGUUGAAUUCCAACUUACGACGGUAUUCGUCGUCGACCUCGAGCUCAACGGGGCCUUUGUUCUCAGGAAUGUCACCGCCGAACACUUUGGAAGGCAUCUUCGUCGCUCGCUGGGAACUUUGGUGGUGGAGUCGGCUAGGGUUUUUUCUUUCAUGUAAGUGGUCGAUUAGUUGCAGGCGUUUUAAUUUAUAUAGCACUAGACUAGACCAGACCGGUUAGAUUGAACCAGAUCAUUAUUAUUUUGUAAUACCAUAAAUUUCAGCUUUAUUGAAACCAAUCCUCAAUGGACCAGACCAGACUGGUUUAUUUGCUGGAGUCGGCUGUUAGUGUUUUGGAUGAAAAGAGUUGCCGUCGUUAAUUUAUCCAGACUACCAGACCGGUUAAAUUCUACGAUUGAACCGGACCAUUAUUUGAUAAGAUUAUUUAAGACCAUACGAUACAAGUUUCCCUGUGUACACGGCUAGGCGCUAUUUCCCCCACAAACAAAAAAGCUUACAUAAAUUUUGGUUCGGUUAAGUUUCCAUUUGUGUGAUAACAAAAUUACGAUGGGUUUAACGAGACUAACACGAAAAUCCAAAUGCAUUCGAAAAACUAUACAAAAACUAGUCAUACUCUUCCCUUUUGGCUCUCUACUGAGUUGUCACACUCUUCGCUAAAUUCCUCGGCUGGUCAACAUUGUGUCCUCUCAGAACAGUCAGAUGAUACGCCAAUAACUGCUCCCCAAAACAAACAUAAAUUAUUAACAGAAGAGAAGAUAUAUAUAUAUAUUAGAUCAGAUUGGUGGUGUAAGAAGAGAUUAGAAUUUUACCUGUAAUGGCACUAUAUUAACAACAGGCUGUAAACAAUCUUCCACUUGAGGAACCUCUAUUGCUCUACAAGAUCCACUCGAGCUCACAGACGCAGCAUCGCCUUUUGAGCACAUCACUAUCAAUCUCCCUUUGCGUGCGUGUAGUUGCUGAAUCACAGAUUGUUGUUUGCUGAAACAAGCAUCGCGAGUGGCGAUCACAGCGAUAGGUAGAUUCUCAUCAACUAAAGCUAAAGGCCCGUGUUUCAUUUCUCCUGCAAGUAUUCCUUCGCUGUGCAUAAGUGAUACUUCUUUUACUUUCAGUGCUCCUUCUAAUGCUGUUGCGUAGUUGUAUCCUCUUCCAAACACAAGCAGUGACUGCUCCUCUAUCAACAGUUGUGCAAGAUCCUUCAUUUCCUCGUCUAGCUUUAGUACUUCCCUAAUCUUAUCUGGAUUCAAACAUGAAGAAACCAAAUUGCUUAAAAACAAUCAGUCUUAAGAAGAAGCACCUGUGAUAACUCGACUCAAACUUACUCGGUAAAUCAAGCAGCCCAUCAAUUAUAGCUUCCCGUCUAGUUUGGCUGGAGAUUGUGUCACUUCCAAUCGCUAGAGCUAGCAUUACCAUCACCACGAUCUGACUUGUGUAUGCCUGGAGGGAAAACAUAACUUGUUUUAAGCUUCAAAUCUUGAAAGAUAUAUAUAUAUAUAUAUAUCUCUCUCUCUUCUUCCUCAUCCACUUCUUCUUCUUCUUCCUCUUCAGGUUCUUCAUCAUCGUCCUUUUGCUUCAAAACCUUUUCUCUGGUGGCAGUAAACCCAUCCCCACUUUGAAUGACAUCCCAAUUCUUUGGGAGUCCAAGAAGUUCAUCUUCCUUGUCAAAGUCAGGCU
rnacentral:lncRNA from 1 species